AGAGUCGAAAAUGUUAAUAGAUACAUACUGUUAAACACCACCGAGUAUUUCUUUGGCACUCUACGCGUCCUACACCUAAUUCACUUCACGAUUACAAUAACGGCGAUAAUAUUUUGUCCGGAGUUUGUUUACCUUUGAAACUAGCAGACUAAAACAACGUUGGUAUUCCACGGCACAAUAAUACGAGUCUUUUGCGAUUCGAAUUUUCCGUUGACUUACGUGCCGCUACAAAACUUUUUCCAAAAUCUUAUCCAAACGAAAGAAGUUUCGAAUUAGCACGAAUUGGGGUUAGGUUUUUAUUUUUAAAGAUUCAUUUUCUGCAGUUUAAACUCGUUUUAAAAUAGACAGCCAUUUGGGCGUUUUAUUAUGUGAAAUUCGAUCGAUUGAGUACAUGCGACGGAAGAUCUGUACGUCGAAGAAAAUGGGAAUGACAUUUCCAAGGCGUGAUGUUACGAGUGUGCACCAGGAGCUACAUUGGCCGUGUUACAACGUAUCGCGAUCGUCGAAGAGCACUUAGCGCACCUAUAAGAAACUUAAUGACCUCGUCUUGCAAACCUGACUUCAAAUGAAAAACGGUCGUAUGAUUAAUGCAACAGUGUGAAAGGUUAACAAAUGUUUUGCAACUUUCCCUCCCUUGGGUGGGUGUUAUCUGUUGAAAUGGGUCUCGCUUCUAGGAAAAUUCUAUAUUUUUUCCAGUGUUUAGUUUUUGGCACAUUCAAAAAGGUCGGAAAACUUCAAUGGGCCUAACGGCCAUCAAUAUAUUUCGGCACCGCGGCAGUCGAUGUUCAGUUAGCCGUCGGAGAGCCAAGAGUGAGGAGUCGUUAAUCGAGAGUUGUGAUAUCACACUACUGCAUUAAGUUCACGUUAAAUUAUCAUCGUUUUCUGUUUAAUCCACUGUAAUGAAUCCAUCUAUCAAUACAUUAUCAUAUAGAAUAUAGAAACCAUUGGGAAUCCUAAUUUCUAACAUUUCCGAAUAAAGAAUUUCUAUAAUACAUUCAUCCACGCGUUUGCUCUUUCUAUUCCGAAAUAUAUAAAAAUCUCAACAUUAUCCACGUAUUAGAUGUUCUCCACCGACGAUGCUUUAGCUCUUUGCAGACGAGUGUCGGCAAAUAGCCGUCCGAAUCUGUUUACAAUUCCGGUCAGUUAUUGUGAAGUGGCUAGCGUAUGUCUAUUUUCUGAGCAAUAAUCUUCUGCGUAUUUACGCAUGGGUAUAGUAAACUAAACAGUAUUAUGUUUUUGAUGAAAGAAAAUUACAGAUCUUUAGAAAUCUUAUCUUCCGUUUACCGUAAAUUCGCGAUGCAGGGUGAUGGCCGGCUCAAAACAAAUUUCAAUCUUUCAAUGGCACUACCAAACGAAUCAGCGGGCUUUUUAUAUAUUUUAUAUAUUUUUUGUAAUACUUUAUACACGGCUGCCAAAAAAUUCCAGAAAGAACAUGUUCGAUAGUGAUAGUAGUGAUGACGGAUAUUAUUUUGAACCUGACAAGAUAGAACACGACAACAGUGCUUCAGACAGUGCAAACGAACUACGUUCAACAAGGAUACUACUCAGAUGUUUCAAUACUUCUAGUGAUAGUGACAGUGAUGAUGAACUAAAUAUUGAAGAAAAUACAAGCUUUUAACAACGAAUAACGCAAUCGUUCAACGUGCAUAUUUUCUCAACUGCGCGCGCCGAUAUCUCUCGUUCACAGCGACGCUCGCUCAUCGAGAGGUCCCGUCCGUAAAGGUUAGCUUCCGCUUCAGAUUUUACACGGCGUCACGUCUCUGGAAAAUGCCCAUUCUUUCGGAUAUGGACACGGGAAACGAGCCCAGAUCCAAUCGCGAUUCAGGUCAAAGUUGAGCCGAAUCUAACUGGAAGCUAAUGCAAACGAAAUUCGUUGAAUUUAAUCCGAAGCAAGCAAAGCGGAUUUACCUGUGUUUCAAAUCACGUUUCCGAACGACAACUUUCGAGCAAUAUCGUAAUUAUUCGCCGAAAAGGAACGAACGUCAAAAUCGAGUUGCAGCUAUUUCACACAAAGUUGUUAGAAAGUAUUGUCGUAAAUGUUGCAAACUUCCUGGGCUAUGAAAAAAUACCAAAAUCACUUUUGCGUUCUUUUUCCUGCAUCGAGACGACGAUUAACUAAGUAAGUCAAAGUACAAGGUUAGUAUACAAGGUUAGUACAAAGUAUAAGCUAGAAUACCGCAUAGAGAUAUUUCCAGCUAAUUCGCUCGGGUCAUGUCGUUUAAUUACUCGAACGUACAAAUCGACGUGGAUGAAAACUAGCGCAGUGUUCGAAAUGAAGUUAGCUGGAUGACGCGAAUCAACUACUUUUUGUCUUAUGGAAAGAUAAAGGUCGCGACGGAAAGUGAUUAUAAAAAUUUAAUUGCGCGCGUGGUUUUUCGUGUACUUUUUUCAUGGAUGUUGCAAACAGCAUAAUCCUUUCGGGCUCCACCCUUAAAUUGCAAAGAGAGCAGAUAAAAACUUCAAUUAUUCUUUCAUCCUUACUUCGAAUAACGAACUCGGUCGGUAUAAAACGCAAACGAAGGUAUUUAACCAUAGUUAAAGGAGAUUAACCACGUUUCAUUCGAGAGAAACAACUAUCACGGGCUGAAUAAACGAAUUUAUCAAUUCUUUCAAUAUGAUUUCUAAGAUUUCUAACAUUUCUCUUCUCUUUGAUUGUACACACCGAAAAUUUUCUUACUGUGUGCACGCAUCCAACUAUUGGAAAACACUGCACAUAGUAGCAGCCAUAGUAUGAGUAGUAAGAGAUACAGCGUUACGUCUUAUCGAUUUCUAUUAUCGAUCUUUAAAGGAAGUGCAGAUCGAUGGAGAUCGAACCAGUAAUUACGUACCUGUAAUCAAUCGAAAUGUACAAUUUUCCUAAUUGCGUGAAGUGUGUCGAUUGUCUGUCGUAUCCCUCGUUUCACGCGCGCGUUCUCAAUUCCCACAUAAUUUCCGUAUAAAACCGGAUGGGACCUUAGUUGGAAUAUGAUAUAUCGAAAUGUAUAUUAAGAAAAUUGCGUUUUACGAGCUCCUACAAUGGAUAUAUAUUGCCUGAAAAUCGACGUCUGGAUCGACAUAAAGAUAAGGCGUUUAUGACGAUCGAUGGAGGUUAGUUAUUCUACGUCAACUACGUAAACUUCAGUACCCAGUAAUUUUUCGCCGCGACCACCAUGACAUUAACCAUGUUCAUUGACGUCCAUAUUUAAUUACGUUACGAUAACGAUGCAGCCAAAUUCUAACAAGCCAUUGUCGCAAAAUACAUACUUUGCGAUGAAAACGAUACGUUCUUACAAUCGAUUAUGCGUCGGUGCGUUCGAAAUAUGUAAGAAGAUUUUCGUGAUUUAUAUAAAAAUCCAUAAAUGUCGAAAGGAAGAAACGUGGAUGUGUAAGGUUAGAGUAACGCCGAUCGAAUUCUCGUUGUUUUCGCAAAGAAAGAUUGAAAAUGAAACCGCGAGGAGGAUACCAAUACCUGCAAUGCAGUAUACUUCUCAAAGUCCACAAAAGUCGCUGUUUGAAGCGAACUGUGGUAGAACAUUUGAGAUUCAAAAUUACAGUGGAGGUUCUUUCAAUUACGAAGUUUUCCCAUAGUUGAAGAAAGUAGCGAAAAUCGAACUCGUGCAUCGUUGAAUCAUGAAUGUUCUUUCUGCCUUGUAACUUGUUCGGUUUUCGAAAAGAUUUUAAAAACCUUUAUCUUUCACUUGUAAUCUAGCGAGAUUUAACUUUAGUACUGUUGAGAAUUGUGGAUCUUAGUCGCCGAAAUAAAUAUAUAAGAACACUCACAUUACAUGUAGAAAUGAUUUUAAAAUAGUUUCAGAUUUAUUUAAUAUGUGAUUUACAAGAUAUUCGUAGAUACACAUUGCAUACGUCUCAGCACUCCUUUUGUCUCACCAUCUUCCUUAACACCAUGCGAACGGAACAGUUGCAUUCUUCUGUUUUACGAGACGCUGCGCACGCACGUACUACCACACAUAUUCAUACUCAUACAUGUGACACUACUACUCGGCUGAUCAAGUGUACCACACGAAGUUACACACAUCGCAAUAAGUGCACGGUCCAACGAAGAGAAUCAGCGACGAAUGUAUUUCUUACUUAGGGAUUAAUAAUCGAUUAGUCGUCGUUGUAAGAGAAAAUAUGCGCUAAACGUGCGAUAUACGAGUGAUCAAUUUAGAAAUUAGACUCACGUAGUUCGAUACGAAUUAUUUUCGAUUCCACGAUUUAAAAGGAGCAAGGGGAAAGAAAAAAUCGCAAAGCGUAUGCGCGAGAAAGUUUCAAAAACUGCAGUCGUGGUAACGGGAAUAUAAAUCUAUAAAGUUCUCCCAGUUCAGCAGAGAAAACUUUGUCCAGGAAGCAUGCAUUAUUUACGUAGAACUGAGGUGAAAUUUGCCUUGUUUUAUCAACGAUAUUUGCUUAAAAGUUGCUUGAAUAUAUAGAGCUGUAUUCUCCAUUUAGUUCUGGAUAAGAAGUUUGCAAAAUACGCAGUUGCUUAGUUUUAAAAAGUUAAAACUAAGAUUUUCCAUUUUUCCAAAUAUCUAGCAGCUGAAAUUUAAAUUACGUAAUUUCUCAGAAUCUUUUGGCGUAAAUCGAAUUUUAUCUUUAACCAUAGCUACGACAUCCAUUUGCAAAAUAUAUUGUGUGAUAAAAAUCGCAGCUAACCGAGCUUCUCAAAGAAUGAACAAAUUUUGACUCUUAUCGAAUUACAACUUUUUUUUAUAUCUAAAGCUUUGAUGCGUCUUUUAAUAGCUUUCUAACAUUCAAUGAUACGGUUCGCUAGACUUUUUCGACAACAAUUUCCUAUCCACUGGUUUUAGUCGAAACCCGAAUUUUCUUAUAUCGAAAAACGUAAGAUCGUAGAUAUAUGGACAUGAAAGGAAAGAAAAUAAAAAGAGAAGCACUGUUUUUAUUAAAAUUGAAUCGACGCUUUCAUUGGUACGUAAUUCGGAUUUUUAAGAUUGAACCGACAGAUCCUACAUGUACCGAUAACGCUGCUUUUAGGUUAACGUUGCACCGAACAACUUGCGUUUAUCUUUCCUAGACACGUUUUAUAUUACGUGCAACUUUUCAACACGUUUGUUUUGAAACGGGCAAACUUCUAUCUCCGACGUGUAGCAAAGAUAUUGAAAAUUUUUAUAGAAUCAAGAAGUUCAAGUAAGAAGUAGAAACAAAUAUGUAGUUACUUUCCAAGUUUGUCGCGCAUCGAAGCAAACGAACGACAGAUUUGUAUCGUAAUCCAUCAAAUAUAUAGAUGUCGUGGUAGUCGCAAUCGUACAGUUAAAUUUUCACCAUCAACUUUCAAACUCCUUAGAUGGCGCUUUGCCGAUACAAUCGCCGUUUCUCUCAGUAUUAAUGUGCGUGUUCCAUCUUCCACAUUUAUCAGAAAUUUCUUUUUCAAAUACAUUCCAACUCCUAUUCUUUGGAAGAUCUAAAGAGGCUAUCUCAUUAGACCCAAUUUCCACAUUGCGUGUGCACAAACUAGUACGUAAAAUUGUCCAAAUCUAGUGUAAUUUUAACUAUUUGUUUUAAUAAAGUAAUAUAAAAGAAGA